UACGAAGGGGGCUAGCGUUGUUCGGAAUUACUGGGCGUAAAGGGCGCGCAGGCGGCCCUCCAAGUCAGGCGUGAAAGCCCCGGGCUCAACCCGGGAACAGCGCUUGAGACUGGGGGGCUUGAGUUCGGGAGAGGAGAGUGGAAUUCCCAGUGUAGAGGUGAAAGUUCGUAGAUAUUGGGAAGAACACCGGUGGCGAAGGCGGCUCUCUGGACCGACG
rnacentral:rRNA from 1 species